rnacentral:rRNA from 1 species
GACGAACGCUGGCGGCGUGCCUAAUACAUGCAAGUUGAGCGCUGAAGGUUGGUACUUGUACCAACUGGAUGAGCAGCGAACGGGUGAGUAACGCGUGGGGAAUCUGCCUUUGAGCGGGGGACAACAUUUGGAAACGAAUGCUAAUACCGCAUAAAAACUUUAAACACAAGUUUUAAGUUUGAAAGAUGCAAUUGCAUCACUCAAAGAUGAUCCCGCGUUGUAUUAGCUAGUUGGUGAGGUAAAGGCUCACCAAGGCGAUGAUACAUAGCCGACCUGAGAGGGUGAUCGGCCACAUUGGGACUGAGACAUGGCCCAAACUCCUACGGGAGGCAGCAGUAGGGAAUCUUCGGCAAUGGACGAAAGUCUGACCGAGCAACGCCGCGUGAGUGAAGAAGGGUUUCGGAUCGUAAAACUCUGUUGGUAGAGAAGAACGUUGGUGAGAGUGGAAAGCUCAUCAAGUGACGGUAACUACCCAGAAAGGGACGGCUAACUACGUG